CAUGCAAGUCCGCACGGGAAAGUGGAGCAAUCCAUGAGUAUAGUGGCGUACGGGUGAGUAACACGUGGAUCAUCUACCUUCUAGUGGGGAAUACCCCUGGGAAACUGGGGACAAUACCGCAUAAGCUCGAAAGAGGAAAGCAGCAAUGCGCUGGAAGAGGAGUCCGCGGCUGAUUAGCUAGUUGGCGGGGUAACGGCCCACCAAGGCGAAGAUCGGUAGCCGGCCUGAGAGGGCACACGGCCACACUGGCACUGAAACACGGGCCAGACUCCUACGGGAGGCAGCAGUGGGGAAUCUUGCACAAUGGAGGAAACUCUGAUGCAGCGACGCCGCGUGAGCGAUGAAGCCCCUCGGGGUGUAAAGCUCUUUCGACGGGAAAGAUUAUGACGGUACCCGGAGAAGAAGCUGCGGCUAACUACGUGCCAGCAGCCGCGGUAAUACGUAGGCAGCGAGCGUUGUUCGGAAUUACUGGGCGUAAAGAGUGUGUAGGCGGUGCUCUAAGUCUGUUGUGAAAUCUCCCGGCUUAACUGGGAGGGUGCGGCGGGAACUGGAGUGCUAGAGGGUGGGAGAGGUAAGCGGAAUUCCUGGUGUAGCGGUG
rnacentral:rRNA from 1 species